rnacentral:rRNA from 1 species
CCUACGGGAGGCAGCAGUGGGGAAUAUUUCGCAAUGGGCGAAAGCCUGACGCAGCGACGCCGCGUGAGGGAUGAAGGUCUUCGGAUCGUAAACCUCUGUCAGCAGGGAAGAACGGUCACUUUGCUAAUCAGCAGUGAAUUGACGGUACCUGCAAAGGAAGCACCGGCUAACUCCGUGCCAGCAGCCGCGGUAAUACGGAGGGUGCGAGCGUUAAUCGGAAUUACUGGGCGUAAAGCGCUCGUAGGCGGUAUGUCAAGUCAAGGGUGAAAUCUCCGCGCUCAACGUGGGAACUGCAUUUGAAACUGGCAAACUGGAGUGUGUGAGAGGAUAGUGGAAUUCCAGGUGUAGGAGUGAAAUCCGUAGAUAUCUGGAGGAACAUCAGUGGCGAAGGCGACUAUCUGGCACAUAACUGACGCUGAGGAGCGAAAGCGUGGGUAGCAAACAGGAUUAGAUACCCCAGUAGUC